rnacentral:snoRNA from 1 species
GGUAGGACCUGAGACAUCCUGACUCAAUGUUUGUCCUGAUGGGCUAGAGUUCUCAAAGAGAAUUUGCUGGUAUUGGCUUGCUGAAUUUUACCCAAAUCAUAAAUAUAA